GCCGCCCGGCCGUCGAAUCCGCGUCCGCGCGGAGCCGGGGACCCACCUCUCCUGGGGUGAAUCGGCACCUGUGCCGUAGGGCCACUUCCAGCCCGAACCCGUCAGCUAACCCGGUAGGCGGCAAGGAAGCAAGG
rfam:Microbispora sp. ATCC PTA-5024 genomic scaffold scaffold00001, whole genome shotgun sequence.